GGGGCUGACGUGGUUUUGACAGCAAGUAGAAUGGGUUUGUAAGCAUGCCGAGCGUCGUGAUGCUGGCUCGAUAAUCACAGGUCACAACCAAAUAAACGGCGAAUCAAAUUACGCUCUCGCUGCUUAAUUUUGCAAAGCAAAAUGGCUUAAUCCCUACGCCUAGGUGUGUGGGGACGAGAUGUCCCGCCGGAAAUUCCGCCCGAUUGUUUCCGGCAUACGGGGCACCGACAAAACCGGGAUAGCUCAAGCGACACCUUUAAGCUUGGGUAAAAUAAUAAAGGUUAAGGAUUGGUUCGGUUGCCUUUCGCCUGGCUAGUCCCGACAACCAAGAAAGGCUAAGCAUGUAGAAAACAAGCUGGUUCCUUGUUUGGACGAGGGUUCGAUUCCCUCCAGCUCCACCA
rnacentral:tmRNA from 1 species